rnacentral:lncRNA from 1 species
AGCUAUUGGGGGUCCAUUUAACCUCAUUGACCAUAAUGGGAAAGCUGUCACUGAUAAGGACUUUCUAGGGAACUGGAACUUGAUUUAUUUUGGCUUCACUCACUGCCCCGAUAUAUGCCCGGAUGAGCUACAAAAGCUUGCUGCUGCAAUUGAUAAAAUAAGUAAGUUUCUCGAUUUUACUUUGUGGUUGUCAUUGUGAUGCCAUCUUUGUGAUCAUUUUAUGUUGUGAUGAUGGAAGCAGUUGAAAUAUUGUUUGUUGACUGACAUUGGUGGGGUUUGUCUGUUAUUAUUUAAUCUAGGAUAGGUUUAAAACUUGUACACCUUAAAUUUGUUCUUGCAUUGAUUUAUAUUUGGUUAAAUUUUGCCAAAAUACUUGGUUUCUCAUUUUUCUGCAUUUGUAGAAG